CCCUUAGAUGUUCUGGGCCGCACGCGUGCUACACUGAGUGGAUCAGCGGGUCAGGUUGCGCGAAAGUGUUUCCUAAUCUUUAAAUCCGCUCGUGAUGGGGAUUGACGGUUGCAAUUUUCCGUCAUGAACGAGGAAUACCUUGUAAGCGCGAGUCAUCAUCCCGCGCUGAAUACGUCCCUGCCCUUUGUACACGCCGCCCGUCGCUCCUACCGAUUGAGUGGUCCGGUGAGGCUUUGGGAUCUGAGCGGAAAGAGCGUUUCGCUGUUUCUGCCCGGAAAACUCAGUCGAACCUUAUCAUUUAGAGGAAGGAGAAGUCGUAACA
rnacentral:rRNA from 1 species